GAUAUUUUGGAUUCACGUUUGGACGAUUUUUAAUAAAAAUACACUUACCUGUAAAAGAAGUGCAAUUGAAAUAGUUGAAAGGGAUAUUUUCCAAGAUAAUUUCAUUGACACAUUAUCAUCUUUCACUGGAACGAAAACAGAUUCCUUACGGAGAUUUAUAAUGGGGAAUGUUUACAUCUUUUCUCCAUUCGGAAUACACUCGGAAUACAUCGCGCAAUAUUUCAACGUUAUCAUCCGGGCUUGCUGCAAUGCAAAAUCUCCGUAGACAUAACAUUUUUUAGCAUUGUAUUAAAACCUGAUAAGCUAACAGGGGCGUUUUGACUGAGAAAUCUUGGAAAUUUUUCAUACUUUUGAAUGAACAUCGUUUGGAUCCUGAGGUAUUUAUAAAUAUCAAACAAUUAAGCCAAACGUGAAUCCAAAAUAUCUUGGGACAGAUUAUAACUGUUUACCUGCGCAAAUUAAGCAAAAUCUGAUGUAUCAAAAAAGUACUGAAAUACAAUUCAUUCUAUCGGUAAUUCGGCUUUAUCUUUUGCGUAAUGGUAGAUUAAUGCAAUAGGUUUUGUUGAGAUCGAUGCUCGGCAUUUUCUCGAGUUUAUACAGUUUAAAUAGAGUUUGAUAUCGCUGAAGGAAAUAUGUAGGUAUAUAUACAUGUAUAUAUAUGAUUCAUUUCGAAAAAAUAAAUUGUGUUCUUUAUUUGUUAUAGUGCAUGCAUGUUUCUUGUGUUUAAUUGUUUACAAUUUCUAUUUACUAACCAUAUUUGAGUGUUAAGCUUCGAAUUAUAAGCAAGAUACAGAGAUUUGCUCACAAUUCUAUGUUUGUACACAGAUCUUAAAAACUAAAGAUUGAAAAGGUAAAAAAUUUGUCAACAUUUAUUAAUAUAUCAAUAUUUAUUAAGAAGUCUGUUCUGCCAGAAACCAAUUUUAACAACUUAUUGUAUUGUAAACUUAACCUUUUUUCGUCAUUAUUACUCCUACUGUACAUGUGAUCCUUGACUGUGUUUGUGUACAUUUGUAUAAACUGAUUUUGAACCUUAAAUACCAAUGAACUGGUCUUGAGUGAAUAAAAGAAUUGAAAAUC